AUCGCUUCUCGGCCUUUUGGCUAAGAUCAAGUGUAAAAAGAAACAAAUCUAUGGAUAUUUCCAUAGCACUUUAUACUUCUUAAAGCCAGUUUAAUGAAUUGUGCUGUAUAUUGCAUCUCUCAGAACUUAGCAAAAUUUCU
ensembl:snRNA U2 U2 spliceosomal RNA